UAGCUAUGUGCGGACGGGAUAAGCGCUGAAAGCAUCUAAGCGUGAAGCCCCCUCCAAGAUGAGACUUCCCACAGCGCAAGCUGGUAAGACCCCUCAUAGACGAUGAGGUUGAUAGGUUCGGUGUGGAAGCGCGGUAACGUGUGGAGCUGACGAAUACUAAUCGGUCGAGGACUUAUCCACACA
rnacentral:rRNA from 1 species